rnacentral:rRNA from 1 species
GCGGCGUGCUUACCAUGCNAGUCGAACGAUGACGACCGUGCUUGCACGGUCUGAUUAGUGGCGAACGGGUGAGUAACACGUGAGUAACCUGCCCUCCACUUCGGGAUAACCUCGGGAAAUCGUGGCUAAUACCGGAUAUGAAUCCUUGUCGCAUGGCGGGGGUUGGAAAGAUUUAUCGGUGGGGGAUGGACUCGCGGCCUAUCAGUUUGUUGGUGAGGUAAUGGCUCACCAAGACGAUGACGGGUAGCCGACCUGAGAGGGCGACCGGCCACACUGGGACUGAGACACGGCCCAGACUCCUACGGGAGGCAGCAGUGGGGAAUAUUGCACAAUGGGCGAAAGCCUGAUGCAGCGACGCCGCGUGAGGGAUGACGGCCUUCGGGUUGUAAACCUCUUUCAGUAGGGAAGAAGCGAAAGUGACGGUACCUGCAGAAGAAGCGCCGGCUAACUACGUGCCAGCAGCCGCGGUAAU